CUGAACUGGAUUGGUGUGCCCACUCGGGAGUUCAAUGUUGGCCAGUAUCGCCGGGACAUGGUCAAGACCUACAAAUCUUUCGAAUUUUUUCUCCCCGACAAUGAAGAGGGCCUGAAAAUCAGGAAGCAGUGUGCCCUGGCAGCCCUCCGUGACGUCCGGCGGUUCCUUAGUGAGGAGGGGGGACAUGUGGCGGUUUUUGAUGCCACAAACACCACCCGAGAACGGAGAGCGACCAUCUUUAAUUUUGGAGAACAGAAUGGCUACAAGGUGAGGCCUCCUUGGCAGAACUGUGGCAUGUCCCCUGCCCUCCAGGGCUCCUUUCACCGCCUGCCGAUGCAUGAGGGGCAUGGGGCUGGCAUGGCUCCUGAGUGUAAUUUGGGAUGAGAGGGGCUGUUUCCACCUGGGGUUUGCUUUCCAGAGGGAAGGGCGUUUUGGUGGGAGAGUCUAGGAGAGGGUAGCACCUGCUUUAGCUCCGGACUCCUUGACCCUGCCUCCAGCCCCCUGAAGCAGGGUUUCAGGGCCUGGCUGCUGGUCAGCAUG
rnacentral:sRNA from 1 species